rnacentral:lncRNA from 1 species
GCAGAAGGGAACUGAUACAACUCACAGGAACCACUACCAAAGAGUAUUAGGUUUCCAGUUUUAACUUGAAGCUUGCAUACCAUGAACAAGCCCUCACCCUAGAGCUUAAGACAUUGCCAUGUUAGUGGGCUAGCAAAUGAGCUUGGGCUCCCUCUACUCCUCGUACCCACCAUUCCCUCUACUCCCUCCUCCCCUUCAUCCUGCUCCACCCC